GCAAGAGCUGUGGAGAUGAGGUCCUUCUGGUGGGAGCAGGGUUGUGUGGAUCACUCUCAGUCCUUUCUCUGUUGUUUUUUCAUUCGCUUUGACCAGCCAUUGAGCACUGGUCAGGAGCCAUUAGCACCCAGACUGAACACAAUGUAAAUUACCUGCAUGUGAUGAGAGCACCCCUGCACGUAAGGCUUGGUGAACUGCAGACAGCGCCGUGUCCUUGGAGCACUUCACGGCAAAACAACAGAUGGAAGUGAUGGAUAAAUCCACAUCAGGCACUUUCCCUCCCCACUGGAUGAAGGUCUUUCCUGUCUCUGUGCAGUGUUCAGGACAAAAUGAAGCCCAAAUUUUUUUUCUGGUUCCAGAAGAACCCUGAUGUACACAAA